rnacentral:rRNA from 1 species
AUCUCUGCGGGUCUCCUCCCCGCUGUUGCCAGACGGUCGAAGGCGACCGGCGACCUCCCGGAUCUCUCCCUCUCUGUUGCUGGGGCGUCUGGCUGAAGGCAACGACGGGUCAGGGGAGCUCCGGAGCAGCCGCCUCAGAUCCGGCAGACAUUUGCCUGAACCCAGCCGAAUCAUUCGUCAGCUUUUCAAUUCGAUUCGAUCCUGACGGUCCUGCUCGCCUUAUUCGGCGGCAGCUGCGCCUUCCUCUCACCCCGUCGGCGGCUUCUCCCCUGUUCAGGUGGAGAUCCGGGCGGUUGCUUCCCGGGUUCCUGCGGAGGCGCAGGCGCCGCGCCUGCGCGCGCAGAGGCCCGGGAUCGGCGGCGAGAUGAAGGGCGCGUCCGUCCCUGCGGUUGUGGGCAUGCCUUCGCCGCUUUUUCUUUGGCGGUUUAAGGCUAUAUUGUUUCUCGUGUGGGGUUUAUGCUGUUGCAAGAUAGGGUGGGACUCUGUUAUGAGGAUGAGUGCUGAUCUGCGAGAUUUAUUUCUGUAUGAGGUUUUCUUGUACUAUAAUCCUCUCUUCCUUGUGGCACUUAUGAUUUGGUUAUGGGGAGUGAAUUUGUGGGUCUUUGCACAAUCAUCAGUGAAUUAUGUAAAAGUGUUUGAUCUCGCGCAAACACAUUUAUCACACCGAGAAAUUUGGAGGUGUGCUACUUGGCUUACUUUAAUUGUUCCCACAAGUAUGACAGCUUACCUAUACCUGUACUCACAUGGGGAAGUGUCACUUGCUGCUUCUCAACCAGUUCUAUUGUAUGCUAUCCUUUUGAUAGUCCUCCUUUCUCCGUUUGAUAUGUUCUAUUUAUCAUCACGCUUUUACUUCCUGAGGACCAUGUUACGUAUAAUACUUCCAUUGCAAGCAAUUACAUUCCCCGACUUCUUUUUGGCUGAUAUUUUUACAUCCAUGUCAAAGGUGUUCUCAGAUUUGGAACGUUCAGUUUGCCGCAUGGUCAAUCGUCAGGUGGCGACAAUUGCUUGGUUUGAAGCUGAUUCAAUUUGUGGUAGCCACUCUAUAGCUAUUCCUCUAGUUCUUGUGCUCCCUUAUUUGUGCCGUUUCUUCCAAUGCCUUCGACAGUACAAGGAUACAAAGGAGAAAAGUUGUCUUCUGAACGCACUGAAGUACUCGACAGCAUUCCCGGUGAUUUUUUUAUCGGCGCUCAAGUAUCAUGUAUUCCCUGACCAGUGGGUUAGCUUUUACCGGCCCCUCUGGCUUAUUUCGGGAGUUAUAAAUUCGCUGUAUUCCUUCUACUGGGAUAUAAAGCGCGAUUGGGAUUUGAGUAUUUUAACCAGGAUUUUCAUGUUCAAAAGCCCAAGCACAUGGACAAGUCUUCUUUAUGGGCGGAACUGGGUGUAUUACUGGGUGUUAGGCAGCAAUCUCAUCCUCCGCUGCACAUGGACAUACAAGCUGUCGGCGCAUCUUCGGCACAACUACCUCACAGUGUUUGCGAUAACAGCUUUGGAAAUGCUGAGGCGGUUUCAGUGGGUUUUCUUCCGCGUUGAGAAUGAGUGGAACAAGAUGACGGCCAAGCAAAAUUUUGAAAUGUCAUCCGAUAUGCCUUCAGAAUCAGACAGGCUACUGGAGUCUAAUAGCCACACAGGCUCAGAAGGUCAGGGAUACACAACAGUAGGUUUGUAGAAAAAGCUGAAAUCGUUGGCGUGGAGCAUGUAAUCCUCUUGAGGUGUUUGUUGACACAUGAAACAAUAAAUAGUAAUGCUGAAAUUUUUGAGAUUUUGCAUCA